GACAGAGCCAGGCUAACACUGUCCUCCUGUUCAUAGUCUCUAUGCUAAGCCAAGCUAACCGGUUGCUGGCUAUAGACUUUUAUUAAA